CUUUCUCUUCUUCUGCUUCUCCCUUUCCCUCUUUCUCUCCCGCACGAACUCAACUCACUGAGUCAAGUCCAGUCAAGUUCCUUUCCACUCUCUUUUCUUUCUUCCCCCGCCCCCCCCCCCUCAACCCUAUGCCCUUUUUCGUCUUUUCCUCUGCAAUUUCCAUCCAAGGGCUCCCAUCCUUCCACGUCACUUCCGUCUUCUUCAACUCCCCCCCUUCCCCUUCCCCUGAUCCCCUCAUCUCCUUCCUCUUUUAUUUCAAAAACUCCCUUUAGGGUUUCUCAGAUUUAACUCUCUCUUCUUCUUCUUCUUCUUCUUCUUUUUGCUUUUUUUUUCCUCCUUAUUUUUCUUGAUUAGAAAAUUAGAAGAAAAGGAGAUCUCCAAAUCUUCAAUUUCGCCGCUGAUAUUUCUUCACUUCCUUUCGGACGAGGUUUCUGAUGAGUUCGUUGUACUCGGAAAACGGUGAAAAUAAUUCUUUUUGAAAUAUUAAAUUGGUAGAAUUGAGGAUUAGAUUUUUUUUUUUUUGUGCUUAAGGUUAUGAUGGCGAUUGAGAAGAGUAAUUCCAAAGUUUCACCCUUUGAUUCGGAGUUUUCGCCUGGUAGUAGAGAGAUGACUGUGUCAAGUGAUGAGGACGAGCUUCAACGUCCAAGCUCAGCCGUUGAUUCUGAUGAUGAAUUUGACGAUGAUGCUGAUUCAGGAGCAGGUUCGGAUGACUUUGAUUUGUUGGAAUUAGGUGAAACCGGGGCUGAAUUUUGCCAAGUCGGGAACUCGACCUGUUUGGUUCCUUUUGAGUUAUAUGAUCUUUCUGGAUUGGAAGAUAUUUUGUCUCUUGAUGUGUGGAAUGAAUGUUUAAGUGAUGAAGAGAGGUUUAGCCUUACUAGGUUUUUACCUGAUAUGGAUCAGGAUACCUUUAUGCGGACCUUGAUCGACAUUUUUAAGGGUAAUAAUCUUCACUUUGGGAGUCCUAUUAAGAGUUUGUUUGAUAUGUUGAAAGGAGGGUUGUGUGAGCCGAGGGUUGCACUUUAUCGGGAGGGCAUGAAUUUCUUUCGAAAGCAGCAGCAUUACCAUCAUCUGAGGAAGCAUCAGAAUACUAUGGUUGUCAAUCUUAUUCAAAUGAGGGAUGCUUGGCUUAAUUGUAGGGGAUACAGUAUUGAGGAGCGGCUUCGUGUUUUGAAUAUUAUGAGAAGUCAAAGUAGUUUGAUGUAUGAGAAGUUGGAAGAUAAGGAUUCUGCAUCCUCUGAUGGAGAGGAUUUGGUUGAUGGUUUUUGGAGCAAAAGAGUUAAGGACUGGAAAGCUCCACAGAAAUCAGGUCGCUACUCUGGCUUUGGGGUUGAACCAGUUUUAGAGUUUGCAUCGCGAGGACAGCUGAUGGAUUUGGAACCAUCAAAAUACAGGAAGCAGAAUCCAAAAGGCAAACUGAAGACAGGUGAGUCAAAACUUCCUUUUGCAAGAGAGUUUGGCAGCUGCUUUUCCCCUGAUUUAGAUAUGAAUUCUGAGCCAUAUGGUUUGCCAGGAACACUUCCUCGAGAGAAAUAUGAGUCUGCAGCACUCAGGGCAAGGGAUUGGAUGAGGUUAGAUGAUGCUGAAGACCCAAUGUUUGGAACAGGUAUUCAGCGAAACCAAAAUGCUCUCGAUGAUAGCAUCAUGGGCAAAUCUGGUUCUUCGAGAGCAAGGAAGAAGUACAAUCUUUUAAGAGGGGAAGAAUUAGCCACUGAUAGUUUCAUGGCUUCGCCUUUGUCUUCAAAGCAUGCUUUCCUUUCCUAUGGUAGGAAUAGGAAUGCGAACGCUUCAAAGCCUCCUAAUAUGAGAACAUCUUAUAAUUUUCCCAAAAAGUCCAAGCGUUUCAAAAACGACCCACUAUUUGCAGCCGGAGAUCAAAUAAAGUCUAUAAAAGGCCGAAUUCCUUCACUGCCAUUGCAAGGGAGUCGAGUUGACUUAUCUGGGCGCACUGAACUGUUUUGGCAAAAUGAAAACCAAGGAGAAGAUUUCUCUGUGGAUUUGUCUGUUAGACCUGAUGAUUGGAAUAUUAAGCACAAGAAAUGGAAAACACUGCGGGAGUCUCCUGAUCUCAGUUUUAAAUCUUAUAAAGCUUCCUCACCACUGAUGAGUGACCAAUUCUUGAAAUCUGACAGUAGAAAGAAAACAUCGCAGGAGAAGAUUAGAGGGAACCAUUUGCAAAAUGGAGGAGCAGUUAUGGCCCUUUCAAAAGGUAGUAGAGCAUUUAUUAAAAACGAAGAAACAGAAUCUGACUCAUCUGAGCAAUUUGAUGAUGAGGAGGAGAGCAACCCUCUAAUGAGAGGCAAGUUGGCAUACACCAGUGGCGUCGUAGAAAAUCCUCGCCUGUCUUCAUUGAAUUCUGGCCUUGAUUCUAAGAAGACCAAAUCUUCAAAGAAAUAUACUAUGAAGGAUGGAUGGCCUCUUGAUGGAAUGAACCGCUACUCCAAAAAGAGCUUUGAGGAAAAUGUGCACGUGGCAGGAGUAGAAAGCUACUAUUCGGAAAGAAAACAGAAGGGUAAGAUGCAUGAAAGCAGUCCCUUGCCUAACUCUGGUUCUAGAGUUUUCGAUGAGGUUGGUGGGAAACAAGUUUCCAAGUUGGUCAAGAAUGGCCAUUUACGAGGGGAACCUGGUGACAGGUUACGUAGGUCCUCAUUGAGGGCCUACCCUACUGAGAAAAGGCAGAACGGUGAACUUGCCUAUGAUCAUUUUAUUACUCAGUCAAAUUAUCAGCAUGAUUAUCUUGAUGAGGAGGAUGGUUCACCUGUGGCACUAUCAUUGGCAGAUGAAUUUAACCUGGGUAGAACUGGGAAGAAAAGACAGAACACUGAAGCAUAUGAUCGCUGUCAGAAGUCUGAAGCUUCGUUGCUAGGGAGCAACAAAGUGACAAAGAAGAAGAAAGGGAAGAGGUACAUGGAAGAUGUCAACGGAAGAGGUGAAGAUGGCAACGUGCAGCCUAACCCCCAGCAGCAAACUGAUGAUUCUCCUUUCGUGAAGAAAAAGGGAAAACGGAAAUUGGAGGUUGAUACAGUUACUUCAGAUAUGGAACCUUCUGAGCCUCAUGGUGCAGAUCUGGGAACCACAGAUUUGGAGAUGGAAACCAAACCACAGAAAAAGCCAUUUACUUUGAUUACCCCUACCAUUCAUACUGGAUUCUCAUUCUCAAUUAUACAUCUUCUUUCUGCAGUUCGUAUGGCAAUGAUUACUCCAUUUCCUGAAGAUUCCUUAGAGGUUGGUAAACCUAGAGAGGAGCAGAAUGGAAAGCAGCAAGGUGAUCUGAAUGGGGUUCUCUCAUGUGACAACACAGUUACCAAUAGUUCAGACCAUCUUGUGCAACCAAGUGUGCCUUUUCUUACCGUUCAUGAUAUUGUUCAUCGCGUGGCAGUAAAUCCUGGAGAUCCGUGUAUCCUUGAGACAGAAGAGCCACUUCAAGAUUUAGUUCGGGGAGUUCUGAAGAUUUUCUCAUCAAAAACAGCACCUUUGGGAGCAAAAGGUUGGAAGGUACUUGUUGCCUAUGAGAAGUCCACAAAAAGCUGGUCUUGGGUUGGCCCUGCUAUGCAUAGCUCAAACAAUGUUGAGACUGCUGAGGAGGUGAUAUCACCCGAAGCCUGGGGUCUUCCUCACAAAAUGCUUGUCAAGUUGGUUGAUUCUUUUGCAAAUUGGCUAAAAAAUGGUCAAGAGACUCUCCAACAAAUAGGAAGUCUUCCUGCACCUCCGCUUGAACUGAUGCAAGUCAACUUAGAUGAGAAAGAAAGGUUCAGAGACCUAAAAGCUCAGAAAAGCCUUAACACCAUUAGCUCAAGUUCUGAAGAAGUGAGAGCUUAUUUCCGUAGGGAGGAGCUUCUUAGGUAUUCUAUUCCUGACAGGGCCUUCUCUUACACAGCUGCUGAUGGAAAAAAGUCUAUAGUUGCUCCCUUGAGAAGAUGUGGAGGUAAGCCAACUUCAAAGGCUCGAGACCAUUUUAUGCUGAAACGUGAUCGGCCACCGCAUGUUACAAUUCUUUGUCUUGUGAGAGAUGCUGCUGCCAGGUUGCCCGGAAGUAUUGGCACACGUGCAGAUGUUUGUACUUUGAUAAGAGACUCUCAGUAUGUCGUUGAAGAAGUUUCUGAUGCACAAGUAAACCAGAUUGUUAGUGGAGCCUUAGACCGCUUGCACUAUGAACGUGAUCCUUGUGUACAAUUUGAUGGAGAGAGGAAAUUGUGGGUUUAUUUGCAUAGAGAAAGAGAAGAAGAAGAUUUUGAGGAUGAUGGAACUUCAUCUACUAAGAAAUGGAAGAGGCCGAAAAAGGAUACUGCUGAGCAAUCCGUUCAAGUAGCUGUAACGGUGGCUUUUCAUGACACUGGGGAUCAGUCGGGAUUUGAAUUAGGCUCUGAGCUUAAUGUUGAACAUUCAUGCAUUGACAAUGAUAAAAAGAUGGAGAUGGAGUGUUGUGAUAGACAAAAUGCGGAGGAUAAUGCUGACUCUAGUCAUGAGUCUGAGCAAUGUACCACUCAGCAGGAUCAUCCAAUGACAUUGGAGCCUCCUGACCUAAAUCCUGUGCAAGAUGGCGAAUUACAAUGUCAAGAAAAUUCCACUAAUGAAGAUAUUGAUGAUAUUGAUGAUGGUAGAGAAAAACCAGUUGAACACCUCGAUGCAAGCUUAUUAUGAUCAAAUACUUGAGGGCAAAGUCCAGCUUAGGUAGGGUAGAAAGCUUUCAAGGAAUUUUGUAGAAUGUUCAGUGCCUACUUAAAAGCAAUCCAUUGCAAACAGAAUACUGAUGCCAGGGAAAAUUGUGCUUAAAUACAUCAUCAUGACAAACAUCUCUUCUUGAAUUCUUAUCAUGUGGGGAUAAUACUGAAAAAAGGGAUCAUCUAUCUCGUGAAGGCCAGUUUUCAAAGCAACCCACUCUCAAAGAGUACACUAGCUACUGGAAGUUCCAAGCAGCAUGACUCUUGGCAGGUAGCUUUGCAUUGAGCUGUAAGGAGAGCUAGAACAAUAAACACUGGUUUUUCGUCUUGCCUGGAACUCGUGUAUUUACAUGAUUUGGUAGGAAUAGGUACUUGAAUUCAAUGUAGUAGCUAAUGUACUCUCUGAGAGUGGGUUUGUAACCAUUGUCAAACUUUGUUGCAAAACUUUGCUUACUUGAAUUAUCGGGAAAAACAAAAAAAACAAAAGAAGGAAAACCAACCAUACCAAUUUUGAAGAACA